rnacentral:rRNA from 1 species
GAUCGCUGUGAUGCGGGCGGUCCGCCGCUCGUGACUCUGCGAGAAGUCCAUUGAACCCUUAUCAUUUAGAGGAAGGAGAAGUCGUAACAAGGUUUCCGUAGGUGAACCUGCGGAAGGAUCAUUGUCGA